UACGUAGGGUGCAAGCGUUGUCCGGAAUUAUUGGGCGUAAAGAGCUCGUAGGCGGUCUGUCGCGUCGGCUGUGAAAACCCGAGGCUCAACCUCGGGCCUGCAGUCGAUACGGGCAAACUAGAGUACUGCAGGGGAGACUGGAAUUCCUGGUGUAGCGGUGAAAUGCGCAGAUAUCAGGAGGAACACCGGUGGCGAAGGCGGGUCUCUGGGCAGUAACUGACGCUGAGGCGCGAAAGCCAGGGGAGCGAACGGG
rnacentral:rRNA from 1 species